GGGAAAGCACACUAGAGUUGUUUUAGACGUUGGUUGUGGUGUUGCUAGUUUUGGAGGUUAUUUGUUGGAGAAAGAUGUUAUUACUAUGUCAUUUGCUCCAAAGGAUGAACAUGAAGCUCAGAUACAAUUUGCACUUGAAAGGGGAAUUCCUGCUACUCUAUCUGUCAUUGGAACCCAAAGGUUGACAUUUCCAGAUAAUGCUUAUGAUGUGAUUCACUGUGCAAGAUGCAGGGUUCACUGGGAUGCAAAUGGUAGGAAAUUGUUUUAUAAAGUUUCAUGCUUCUAUCCAUAUUAUUUUGAUUAAGAUCCAAUAAUCAGGUGAUUGAGUGAAACCCACAGGUGGAAAACCUUUGAUGGAGCUAAAUAGGAUUCUUAGGCCAGGAGGAUAUUUUAUAUGGUCUGCUACACCAGUUUACAGAAAGGAAGAAAGAGAUCAGAAUGUCUGGAAAGGUUUACCCUUAACAUUAUACUUUUGCUAUUAUUUUAACUUUUUAUGACUAUUUACUUCACCUGAAAUUUGCAAAGGCAUACCAUAUUGUUAUCAUAUAAUUCAGUUAGCAGUUUAACAAUUGUCAUAUUUGACUACUCUCAAAAGUGCAUACUGGAAAAAAGAAUGUUAAGAUGCUUACUGUGGUAACAACUGUAUCUCAUAUUAUGAGUUUUUACCAUGUUUCUUGCAGCAAUGGUUGCACUAACUGAAGCAAUCUGCUGGACGACGGUGAAGAAGACCUUUUUUGAUUCAUCAGGAGUUGGUCUAGUUAUUUACCAAAAGCCUGUUUCAUCUUCUUGCUAUGUUAAUAGAAAAGAAAAUAAUCCACCUUUGUGCGAUCAGAAUAACAGACCAAAUAGUUCAUGGUACAUUUACCAUAGUUUGAUGGUGCUCUCAAUUGCUACCAAUUGCCAUUUUAUGAUCCUUAUCACUUCAUCUGAACAUUGAAUUUCUGGUUAAAGGUAUGUGCAUCUGGAUGGAUGUCUUCAGUCACUUCCGAUAACAGGCACUGGUGAUAAUUACAACUGGCCGGCACCGUGGCCUGAAAGGUUAAACAGUAAACCUGCAAGCCUAUCGAGUGAACCAGAUGCUGAAGAAAUCUUCAACGAG
rnacentral:lncRNA from 1 species